rnacentral:misc_RNA from 1 species
AAGUCGUAACAAGGUCUCCGUAGGUGAACCUGCGGAGGGAUCAUUAACUUGUAUGUUGAUUGGAUGAUAGUUCGCUAUCAUUCAUCAACAAUCAAAACCAACACAAACAAACCGUGAAUUCGAGUAUUCAGUUACUCAACGCACCGAACAUCGAAACAGCGAAAGUUUCAUUACUUCGUCUAGUAGAUUUCGGACCAUUUUUAUUCAUAUACCUAUUUCACCCGCUCGUAUACUCAUUGACUGAAAACAAAAAGGCGUUUGUCGCGUAACAGUGACGAAACCCCUUUGAAACCUUCGAAUUAUUCGAAAUCUAAGCACAACUCUUAGCAACGGAUAUCUUGGUUCUC